AUUGCCCCAGUAACGGCGAGUGAAGCGGCAAAAGCUCAAAUUUGAAAUCCUGCGGGAAUUGUAAUUUGAAGGUUUCGUGGUCUGAGUCGGCCGCGCCCAAGUCCAUUGGAACAUGGCGCCUGGGAGGGUGAGAGCCCCGUCCGGCGCACGCCGACUCUUUGCACCGCGGCUCCGACGAGUCGAGUUGUUUGGGAAUGCAGCUCUAAGUGGGUGGUAAAUUCCAUCUAAAGCUAAAUAUUGGCGAGAGACCGAUAGCGAACAAGUACAGUGAUGGAAAGAUGAAAAGCACUUUGAAAAGAGAGUGAAACAGCACGUGAAAUUGUUGAAAGGGAAGGGCUUGCAAGCAGACACGGUUUUACCGGGCCAGCGUCGAAAGGGGGAGGAACAAGAACUCGGGAAGAAUGUGGCGCGCACCUUCGGGUGCGCGUGUUAUAGCUCGUGUUGACGCCUCCAUCCUUUUUCGAGGCCUGCGAUUCUAGGACGCUGGCGUAAUGGUUGCAAGCCGCCCGUCUUGAAA
rnacentral:rRNA from 1 species